rnacentral:rRNA from 1 species
UACAGAGGUCUCAAGCGUUGUUCGGAUUCAUUGGGCGUAAAGGGUGCGUAGGCGGCGCGGUAAGUCGGGUGUGAAAUCUCGGAGCUUAACUCCGAAACUGCAUUCGAUACUGCCGUGCUUGAGGACUGGAGAGGAGACUGGAAUUUACGGUGUAGCGGUGAAAUGCGUAGAUAUCGUAAGGAAGACCAGUGGCGAAGGCGGGUCUCUGGACAGUUCCUGACGCUGAGGCACGAAGGUCAGGGGAGCGAACAGG